UGCGGUGCUGCUUGGUAGAAGAAGGGAGGAGGGUGAGCAGACGUCAUACAAGGAGGGACGGUGAAAGGAAGGCUCACAUGUGCCGCUGCCUUAUUUAACCUGGAUUUUCGCUGAACAGGACAGUGACAUGGGCCAUGACUACCACUGUGUGCUGGUGCAGGCUUGCUGCUUGGCGGGAAGUGCCUGUGAGGGCCAGCAGCUUGUCAGGAGGGCCAGGGAGACUCAGAAUAUUGGUUGGGACCCCUCAAGAGACCUGCCCAAGUGUUAGUUUGUGAUGGAGGGGCAGCUGCUGAUGGGCAAGCUUGGGGAUCUACUGGAGGAGCAGGAAGAACCUGGAGGGAAUGGUGGAAGUGAAGUACUUGAAGAAGCUCCCUACACUCACCCCCAAGGAUUCCUUCCACCUUGACGACUGGUUUUCUGCUGUACAGACUACAGACCACUGAACAAUAUUUCACCCUAACCCAGUCUCCUCUCACCCUACGUCCCCUGCACAGGCCGCUGACAGGGUGUGACAUCAAUAUCCAACACCUGUGGUAUGUGCAGGAGCUGGCAGAGGGGCAGGGUGACAGGGCCCACUGCCUCACCAUCCCUGCCCACCAUGCCCCUGACAAGUUCGUCACCUGGGUACAUGCUCAGGCACCCCUGCAGUUAUUCUCUAGGCGAGGACGACAGUUGGAAUCCGUGUGAGAUAGUAGGCCGGCCCAACUUCCAGUAGUGAUGGAUGGGGAGGCAUGCCUGGUGUGUCCUGGGAGCAAUGUGUUUGAUGAGGCUCUGGGAUGACUGAAGUGUGUCUGGUGAAGGAUUAUGAAGGGUAUAUGCUUGUGUUCUUAAAGGCUUAACGUCUUUAUCAUGGCAUUCAGUAGGCCAUAGUGGAAGUUGUGGGGCUUGACAUUUGUAUCACAACAUUGAACAGGCCAUAUUGGAAGUUGUCAGUGUGUGAGUGAUGAAAAUGCAAAAUUGUAGGUGUCAGAUUUUGUUUACUUGAAAAUUAACUCUAUGCUGUAAUUUUUUAUUUAUUUUUUUCUUUGUUUUACAUAUCUUAGAUGAGUUUAGUUUUUGUCAUUAGUAUAUCCAGCCUAUCUAUCUGUUCAUCUAACACCUUCAUCAGUGCACAGGUGGAGAGUGUGAGGGUGACAGUGAGAUGAUGCCUUGCAGGGUGCCUGUCUAUUGUGCCUCUCUCUGUACAUUGAUGCCUAAGAGAACAUUUUGGUCAUAUCCUAGUCAGAGAAUAGAUGAACUAUACCUGUGUGUGUGUGUGUGUGUGUGUGUGUGUGUGGCCAACACUAUGUAUGUAUAUAUUUAUUGACUUUACAAUGGUGUUUAUUGCUCCUGUUUAUUAUUAUUCAUUCUACAGUGGUGUUUAUUGCUGCUGUUUUCACUUUGUGUUCAGAUUUUCAUGUGUAAUUUCUCUCUGUAUUCCAUUUGAUGUAAUUACAAUAGUGUUCAGUGUAUAGUCCUGUUCUAAGUAGUUAUGUUGUAACUCCAAUCAUCCAGUGCCAUGCCUGAACUAAUUCCACUCUCAUUUUGUUGGAAUUCAUUCAUUCCUCUUCAUUAUUAUUUGUCUAUUUCUUU